rnacentral:rRNA from 1 species
GAUGAACGCUAGCUACAGGCUUAACACAUGCAAGUCGAGGGGCAGCGGGAUUGAAGCUUGCUUCAAUUGCCGGCGACCGGCGCACGGGUGAGUAACGCGUAUCCAACCUUCCGCUUACUCGGGGAUAGCCUUUCGAAAGAAAGAUUAAUACCCGAUGGUAUGAUGAGAUUGCAUGAUAGCAUCAUUAAAGAUUUAUUGGUAAGCGAUGGGGAUGCGUUCCAUUAGGUAGUAGGCGGGGUAACGGCCCACCUAGCCGACGAUGGAUAGGGGUUCUGAGAGGAAGGUCCCCCACAUUGGAACUGAGACACGGUCCAAACUCCUACGGGAGGCAGCAGUGAGGAAUAUUGGUCAAUGGACGAGAGUCUGAACCAGCCAAGUAGCGUGAAGGAUGAAGGUCCUACGGAUUGUAAACUUCUUUUAUAAGGGAAUAAAACCUCCCACGUGUGGGAGCUUGUAUGUACCUUAUGAAUAAGCAUCGGCUAACUCCGUGCCAGCAGCCGCGGUAAUACGGAGGAUGCGAGCGUUAUCCGGAUUUAUUGGGUUUAAAGGGAGCGCAGACGGGUCGUUAAGUCAGCUGUGAAAGUUUGGGGCUCAACCUUAAAAUUGCAGUUGAUACUGGCGUCCUUGAGUGCGGUUGAGGUGUGCGGAAUUCGUGGUGUAGCGGUGAAAUGCUUAGAUAUCACGAAGAACUCCGAUUGCGAAGGCAGCACACUAAGCCGUAACUGACGUUCAUGCUCGAAAGUGUGGGUAUCAAACAGGAUUAGAUACCCUGGUAGUCCACACGGUAAACGAUGGAUACUCGCUGUUGGCGAUAUACUGUCAGCGGCUUAGCGAAAGCGUUAAGUAUCCCACCUGGGGAGUACGCCGGCAACGGUGAAACUCAAAGGAAUUGACGGGGGCCCGCACAAGCAGUGGAGUAUGUGGUUUAAUUCGACGCAACGCGAAGAACCUUACCAAGUCUUGACAUCCCUUGACGAUGCUGGAAACAGUAUUUCUCUUCGGAGCAAGGAGACAGGUGGUGCAUGGUUGUCGUCAGCUCGUGUCGUGAGAUGUUGGGUUAAGUCCCGCAACGAGCGCAACCCUUAUGGUCAGUUACUACGCAAGAGGACUCUGGCCAGACUGCCGUUGACAAAACGGAGGAAGGUGGGGAUGACGUCAAAUCAUCAUGCCCUUUAUGACUUGGGCUACACACGUACUACAAUGGCGUUAAACAAAGAGAAGCAAGACCGCGAGGUGGAGCAAAACUCAGAAACAACGUCCCAGUUCGGACUGCAGGCUGCAACUCGCCUGCUCGAAGUCGGAAUUGCUAGUAAUCGUGGAAUCAGCGUGCCACGGUGAAUACGUUUCCCGGGCCU